rnacentral:tRNA from 1 species
GGUGUAGCGCAGUUGGUAGCGCGCUUGGUUUGGGACCAAGAUGCCGCAGGUUCGAAUCCUGUCACU